rnacentral:rRNA from 1 species
UACGUAGGGUGCAAGCGUUGUCCGGAAUUAUUGGGCGUAAAGAGCUCGUAGGCGGUUUGUCGCGUCGGCUGUGAAAACCUGGGGCUCAACCCCGGGCCUGCAGCCGAUACGGGCAAACUAGAAUUCGGUAGGGGAGACUGGAAUUCCUGGUGUAGCGGUGAAAUGCGCAGAUAUCAGGAGGAACACCGAUGGCGAAGGCAGGUCUCUGGGCCGAUACUGACGCUGAGGAGCGAAAGCGUGGGGAGCGAACAGG